CUUCCCAUUCCUGUUCUUCCUUCUAUGAUGUACUGAAGACUCAGCUGCGAUGCUAGGCAAAUUUAACUCGCAGUUCAAAUCAAUCUCAUCAGCAACAUUCUCUACCAUAUCAGUAUGGCCUUUUGAUGCCUCAGUUCCAAAGGAAGAACUCAAUUUCUCAUUGGAAAUUUUUUCCAAGGGGCUAUUCUGCUUUUGUCUAUUGCCUGUACGCUUCUGCUUAGAAGCACCGCUGUCAUUAACCCGUGGUGCACUACUGCUGUGAGCAGCAUCAGCAUUAUUACUGUCUGGUUGGAAUGGCUUCAAUUGCUCAUGCACCCCAACAGAUUCAUUGUUUACAAUCUUUGGUGUCUCAAGAGGCACAUUGCUUGCCAUACUGAUGGAUUUGUCAACAGUAUUCAUGCUAAUUUCACCAUGCACAGCCAUACUUGGGCUGGAUCCCGAAGCUGAACUUGAUGCUCUAGAUUUGCUAGAAACAACAAUUGGUGGCCCAGCAGUAGCGGCUACCUCAUGCCUAUUCUGGACAACACCACUAGGAAGAGUUUCCAACUUCUCCCUACUCUGUGCAACAGUAUUUGGGUUGUAAUCAAAAGAUGAACUUGGUGCUCCAGAUUUGCUUGUAGUUAUGGUUGGUUGGGCAAGAUUUAAGGAUUCUUCUUGCCUAUUCUGGAUAGAAAUGGCAGGGAAACUUUUCAACUUCUUAGUUCACCUUCCCCUGCUUGUGUACGCCUGUUCAACUCUUCCAAUUUUGCACAAGCCUUGGCUCUCUGCUCUCUUGUCCGUUCUUCCUCUUCCUUCUCUCGCUGUUUAAUUCUCUUGGCUAGCUCUCUCAUCUUAGCCCGCUGGCUGUCACUUGGUUCAAAGUUUGGUGCCAUGGAUUCUCCAUCGUCCUUCACUGAAGGAUGCAUCACAGAAUUCUGAGUAGCCUCUGCUGAAUUAUGGUCUUGCCCAUUAACAGAAGAAAUUUCACAAUGUACAGUUGACACAACGCUUUGUGGAUCUGCAACUUGAGAUUUUUUCCGCCAGCCAUCAGCUUCUUGAGUAUUAAAUCUUCCUUUACCACGAUGAUCAGCUCUACCAUGCAUGCCAUGAGAGGACCUCCUGGGGAUGGCUGUUCCACUUCCACUCACUAUUGUUGAUUCGAGGCUCCUAACUCCAGCAGAAAAGUAGUCUUCAUGUGGGGCAGAAUUGAUAAUUCCACUGACACAAGGCUUUUCAUAAGAUAAAGAACCAACAACUGCCUCAUUUGUAGAACAACCAGUAAAGACAUUACCAACUUGAAAUUUAUUCUUCAGCUCUUCCACACUAGAGACAGGUUUAACAUCUUGUCGUCCAUCAGAAGCCCUGGUUUUUGCAUUUAAACCUUCUAUUUUUUGAAUCAGACUGGAAUCUUUAGGAGUUGCUAAUACUUGAGGAACACUAGAAGCUGCAUCUUCAAAUUUCUUAACUGAAUGCAUCAUCAAUUUUCUUAGCUAAACUGUCAUCAGAUGCAUUCAAUUUCCCCCCACUUUCAGGUGACUUCACUUUCAUAGGGACAACUCCUUGGAUUUUCAACAGCCUCAGAAGACGAUUCCUCAAUAACUGCCAUUCUUCUUGCUUCCAACUCAUGAUCCUUUCUGUUAUCUGCCCUCCAGUCAUUCUCCCAAGAUGACUUUCUUGUAUGCUCCCCCUUCAGAGGAUAUGAUGCAUUAGUUUUCAUGGUGUCAUCAAACUUCUGCUCUUCAUCUCUUCCCUCCCAGCCAUCAUGCUGCUUCAGAAGAACUUUGUAAGGUCCUCGAAUAUCUUGAGGAUGAACAGGUUCCACUUGAUCCAAAACCAUUGCUUUACUACUCAGACCAUAUCCACUGGUUCUGCCAUGAGAAUUGCCAGGAUCAGGAAUAUUUUGACCAGGAUACCUGUUAUAUGCAGCAGGGCCCAUUGCCAUUCCCAUGAACGGAACAUCACGUUCAUUGGGAUUGCAGUAGCCCAUGGGAGGACCAUAAUAGCCCUCAUAAGGCACUGGUCCAGGAUAAAAACUAGGCCUGAGAGGCACACUUGGUCGCAUAUAAGCAUCAUGCAAAUGAGGUCGGUACAUGUCCCCAUUUUUUGGGUGGGGGCCUCUAGGCGCAGCUCCUGGUGGAGGAACUGGCUGUGGAUUGGCAAGAGCAGGAGGGGGAAUCUGUGGUCGGUAGUAAGGAAAUGGUUCCAUGGGAAAGCCACUAGGUGCAACUGGAGACCCAAAUGGUGGACCUCCCGGAGGUCCUCUACACCAUACCCCACCUGGAUGAUUAUUUACGGGAGGACCAUGCCAAGAAUCAUAAUGCUGAGGGGGAAUACUAGAAUUAGGAUAUGGUUGGUGAUCAGUAUACCACUUCUCCACAUUGGUCCUGGCUACAUCUUCACCAUACAGAGAAUUCUCUCUUCUCCAGGGGCCAUCAGCUCCACUCUUCACAUUCGCAUGCACAGAAACAUCACCUGCAGAAUCCCCAGUCCCCUCCUUCCUGGAUGUUACACUAGCAGAAGAUGAGCCUGGAUGACCAUGAGAAUCAUGAUCUUGAGAAUCUGCAUUCUUUCCGGAAUUGUCCUUUUCUGAUCCAAGUGUUGGAAAAUCUCCAGAAGUCAGAGAAAACCCAUCGUUCUUAGAGGAUGUUACUCCCAACUUAUCUGCUGUUCCCAUUGCAUGCCAUGCCACUGAAUUAUCAGACAAAUGUUCAGCAAACCGCGAUAAUUGUGAGCUACCAGGUCUUGUUUCUGCACUACGAGGACGCAAUGCUCCAUGUGAUGUCUGAUUUGAUGGCAAUGCUCCAGAAGAUGAUGAUGGCCUAGAAUUUGAACCCCAUGCAUUAAUAACAGGUUCAUUGACUCUAUCACUGCCUGCAGUUGACGGUCGAGUGCCACUUCCACCAGAUGAAGG
rnacentral:misc_RNA from 1 species